rfam:Ornithorhynchus anatinus chromosome 2, whole genome shotgun sequence.
CCCCUCUCAGGGUCACACCUGGAGAGUUUCCAGUACUCUACCAGUCUCGACCGCAGGAGGGAGAGUCAAGCAGAGGCAUAUCCAUUCCUAGCUUGGGCAGUGGCUAGCGAGUGGAAGGCAACCUGCUACAAGU